rnacentral:rRNA from 1 species
ACGAACGCUGGCGGCGUGCCUAAUACAUGCAAGUCGAGCGGAAUGAUGAAGAAGCUUGCUUCUUCUGAUUUUAGCGGCGGACGGGUGAGUAACACGUGGGCAACCUACCUUGUAGAUUGGGAUAACUCCGGGAAACCGGGGCUAAUACCGAAUAAUCCAUUUUGCUUCAUGGCGAGAUGUUAAAAGGCGGCUUCGGCUGUCACUACGAGAUGGGCCCGCGGCGCAUUAGCUAGUUGGUAGGGUAAUGGCCUACCAAGGCGACGAUGCGUAGCCGACCUGAGAGGGUGAUCGGCCACACUGGGACUGAGACACGGCCCAGACUCCUACGGGAGGCAGCAGUAGGGAAUCUUCCACAAUGGACGAAAGUCUGAUGGAGCAACGCCGCGUGAGUGAAGAAGGUUUUCGGAUCGUAAAACUCUGUUGUAAGGGAAGAGCACGUACGAGAGUAACUGCUCGUACCUUGACGGUACCUUAUUAGAAAGCCACGGCUAACUACGUG